rnacentral:rRNA from 1 species
AGUGAACGCUGGCGGUAGGCCUAACACAUGCAAGUCGAACGGCAGCACAGUAAGAGCUUGCUCUUACGGGUGGCGAGUGGCGGACGGGUGAGGAAUACAUCGGAAUCUACUUUUUCGUGGGGGAUAACGUAGGGAAACUUACGCUAAUACCGCAUACGACCUACGGGUGAAAGCAGGGGAUCUUCGGACCUUGCGCGAUUGAAUUAGCCGAUGUCGGAUUAGCUAGUUGGCGGGGUAAAGGCCCACCAAGGCGACGAUCCGUAGCUGGUCUGAGAGGAUGAUCGGCCACACUGGAACUGAGACACGGUCCAGACUCCUACGGGAGGCAGCAGUGGGGAAUAUUGGACAAUGGGCGAAAGCCUGAUCCAGCCAUACCGCGUGGGUGAAGAAGGCCUUCGGGUUGUAAAGCCCUUUUGUUGGGAAAGAAAAGCAGCAGGUUAAUACCCCGCUGUUCUGACGGUACCCAAAGAAUAAGCACCGGCUAACUUCGUG